GCCCGGCUGGCGUAAUGGUUAACGCGUGAGGCUUCUAUAGAUAUGAGUCACCUCAAGAUUGCGAGUUCGAGUCUCGCGUCGGGUU